GUUACGGUGGCCUAGUGGUUAGAGCUUCCGCUUCGGAUGCGGGAGGUCUAAGGCUGGAAUCCCGGCCGAGUCAUACCA